AUCAGGAAGAAGAGGGCUGGAAAAUGGCUCCAAGCAACUUUCUCCAAACUGUGGCUGAAGGAACUAAAACAUACAUAGACUACUGGAAACAUAAAGAUGAGUGCAUGAACUUUGACCAGAAGUAUGAUGCAGAAUUGAUCAAAGAAGAAAAACGCAGAGAAGUAGAAGAAGAGAUCA